rnacentral:rRNA from 1 species
CCUAAGUGCUAAUGUUCUACAUUGGCUUUUGCCAAGAGUAAAUAUCUUGGCGAAUAAGUAGUGGGCAAGACUGGUGCCAGCCGCCGCGGUAACACCAGCGCUGCAAGUGGGAAUCGUUUAUUUGGUCUAAAGCGUCCGUAGCUGGUUGUGUAAAUCCUUUGUGAAAUCGUCAGGCUUAACCUGUCGGAUGGCAGGGGACACUGCACGACUUGGGACCAGGAGGGGUUAGAGGUAUUCUUAGGGGAGCGGUAAAAUGCUAUAAUCCUGAGAAGACCACCUGUGGCGAAGGCGUCUAACCAGAAUGGGUCCGACAGUGAGGGACGAAAGCGAGGGGAGCAAACCGGAUUAGAUACGAGAAAUCUUCUGAUUCUGAAAGUAAUUUCGCAAAUUUGCUUACAACUACUAAUGCGAAACAUGGACAGAACGCAAAAAAUGGAGAUUCACUCGCUAAUUACCCGAGUAGUCCUCGCCGUAAACGCUACGAGCAAGGUGUUGCAUAUUCUUUGAGAAUAUGCAGUGUCGAAACGAAGGUGUUAAGCUCGUCACCUGGGAAGUAUGGUCGCAAGACUGAAACUUAAAGGAAUUGGCGGGGGAGCACUACAAGGGGUGCGGCGUGCGGUUUAAUCCAACUCAACGCGGAGAAUCUCACCAGGGGCGACGGCAGGAUGAAGGUCAGUCUGAAGGGCUUACCUGACGAGCCGAGAGGUAGUGCAUGGCCGUCGUCAGCUCGUGCCGUAAGGUGUCCUGUUAAGUCAGGUAACGAGCGAGACCUGUACGUACAAUUGCUAACGACCAGUUUUGGGAUCGAGCACAUUGUAUGGACUGCCUGGGAAACCAGGAGGAAGGUGCAGGCAACGGUAGGUCUGUAUGCUCCGAAUCCUCUGGGCUACACGCGCGCAACAAUGGUAGGGACAAUGGGUCACGACUCCGUAAGGAGAAGUUAAUCCUCGAAACCCUACCCAAGUACAGAUUGAGGGCUGUAAUUCGCCCUCAUGACGUUGGAAUCCCUAGUAAUCGGAUGUUAGCAUCCUCCGGUGAAUAUGUCCCUG